GAACGGGUGUGUAACACGUGGGCAACCUGCCCAAAANAGGGGGAGUAACACUUGGAAACAGGUGCUAAUACCGCAUAACCAUAGUUACCGCAUGGUAGCUAUGUAAAAGGUGGCCAUGCUACCGCUUUUGGAUGGGCCCGCGGCGCAUUAGCUAGUUGGUGGGGUAAAGGCUUACCAAGGCAAUGAUGCGUAGCCGAACUGAGAGGUUGAUCGGCCACAUUGGGACUGAGACACGGCCCAAACUCCUACGGGAGGCAGCAG
rnacentral:rRNA from 1 species